UACGAAGGGUGCAAGCGUUACUCGGAAUUACUGGGCGUAAAGCGUGCGUAGGUGGUGAGUUAAGUCUGUCGUGAAAGCCCCGGGCUCAACCUGGGAAUGGCGAUGGAUACUGGCUCGCUAGAGUGCGGUAGAGGAGAGUGGAAUUCCCGGUGUAGCAGUGAAAUGCGUAGAGAUCGGGAAGAACAUCGGUGGCGAAAGCGCUCUACUGGACCGCAACUGACACUCAGGGACGAAAGCUAGGGGAGCGAAUGGG
rnacentral:rRNA from 1 species